rnacentral:sRNA from 1 species
UCACGACGCAACGUGGUUAAACAGUACGUUUAUUAAAGUAACUGGGUGAACGACAUCGGAGCGGACUGCAAAUCGCAACGCUACUUUCUCGAGUGCAGAUACUCUUCGAGACGGCUAAACAACGUGUCCAACUCGCUGAGACCUUUCCGCGUGCCGUUAUCCGAUUUCCUUUCCGCCUCCUGAGACAGCCGACUAAUCACGGACUUAUCUCCGCAACCUAACAGAGGCUGGGAGCCCGACAAAAGUAAAACAGCGUGCUAUGAACACGUUGUUACCUCUGCGCGGACAGCGCCGCCACAGAGACACUUACGCAUUGCCGCAUGUCUUUGUAGAUGGAUUCUAGCGUCGAGCGCAUACUAUGCAAUUCCGUCUUAAGUCCAGGAUAGACGUGGUCGCCUGCGGGGAACACGAUCUCCAGAUACCGCCUCAACAACCAGUCCAUGACGCUGCAUCCCCAACAGCCUUUGACCACCGUACCGUCGAGCCACACGGAGUAGUCGUCCUCACGUUGCUACAAGAGGAAAACUACGUCACCCGACACGCGGAAAAGAAAGACCGUCGCAAUAAACCGUACCUACGUGACCUACCAACGUAGGUUUUACUCGAUGAAAGGUGACGCGGAGAUCUUGCAAUCUGGUCGCGUAAUCCUCUGGACGACACUGCGGCUUUGUAUUCUUUAUCGUCGUCGUCGUUGCCGGCUUCGCCUCCUCGGAAGCGCCUAGAAAAAAGACGAUCAGGACCAGAGAGGAAGAGACCAUCACCGACAGCAUCGCCGCAGCAUGCCGCCCCAAUCCGCCGCCCAACUGCGCGUCCCAGGUAGGUGGUCCUUUAUGUCAGCCUUACGAGGAGACACCGCGGACCGGGGAAACGGAUAAGUUUACGAACAAAAAUCUCAAGAGAAAGAUGCUGACCCGAUAAGUACCGUCACGGAGACACGGUGGUUUUUAUUGAAUUUCCAGUGUAUCGAGCCACCGUGAUGCAGGUACGGUGGUUUUAUGUGAAGUGCCGCUAUCUAUAGGCGAUGUGUUCCCUGACGGUGUGUGUUUUUUGGGGAUAGACAACGUGGUUCUUGUACGUGGUUUUUACCCUGCUCAAUAAAGUCACGUUUUCCUUACACGGUGUUGUGUCAAAAAAUAAGCGUGGUG